GGCGCACGGGUGCGUAACGCGUAUGCAACCUACCUUGAACAGGGGGAUAGCCCAGAGAAAUUUGGAUUAAUACCCCAUGGUAUUCUAGAAUGGCAUCAUUUUAUUAUUAAAGUCACAACGGUUCAAGAUGGGCAUGCGUCCCAUUAGCUAGUUGGUAAGGUAACGGCUUACCAAGGCAACGAUGGGUAGGGGUCCUGAGAGGGAGAUCCCCCACACUGGUACUGAGACACGGACCAGACUCCUACGGGAGGCAGCAGUGAGGAAUAUUGGUCAAUGGGCGCAAGCCUGAACCAGCCAUGCCGCGUGCAGGAUGAAGCAUCUAUGGUGUGUAAACUGCUUUUAUACGGGAAGAAACCCCGCCUCGUGAGGCGGAUUGACGGUACCGUAGGAAUAAGGAUCGGCUAACUCCGUGCCAGCAGCCGCGGUAAUACGGAGGAUCCAAGCGUUAUCCGGAAUCAUUGGGUUUAAAGGGUCCGUAGGCGGGCCUGUAAGUCAGUGGUGAAAUCUCCCCGCUCAACGGGGAAACGGCCAUUGAUACUGCAGGCCUUGAAUUACUGUGAAGUAACUAGAAUAUGUAGUGUAGCGGUGAAAUGCUUAGAUAUUACAUGGAAUACCAAUUGCGAAGGCAGGUUACUAACAGUGGAUUGACGCUGAUGGACGAAAGCGUGUGUAGCGAACAGGAUUAGAUACCCUGGUAGUCCA
rnacentral:rRNA from 1 species